rnacentral:lncRNA from 1 species
AAAUUAAAUCAAUAUCUCAAUAUGGCUACUGGGUGUAAAAGAUAAAUCUUAUUCUAUCUGUUCUUAAUGAGUUUUAGAUAAUUUUAGUUGUAUUUCUUUGUAAUUUUGUGUUGUACAAAGAUUAAUUUAACAUUUUCUCUGGAAGUAUUAAUUUAGAAAGAUAAUAUGCUUCAUUGGUGUUGUGUUUUGAAGUGUGAAAUGUGAUAAAGUCAAGAUAAAGUUCACUUUUAAACUGAACUAAAUAAGGUAUCUGAGAGACAACAAUGGUUAAAUGCAAUACAAUGUACAGGUUUUACUAGCGAAAUGAAAAUUUUCCUGUCCUGUCUGCUGUAAUCAUUUUAUAUCUGGAAAACCAGCCGACUUAAUCGAUAAUAACAAUCUCCAGAUUGGGUUCCUUCAAUAAAUAUGGUCUAUAAACACAAUGAAAUAAGUUCCCCAAAAUCUAAAAUGGAGUGGUAUCAAAGGAGAAUUAAAGGGAAAAAUAUUCAUAUUGAAAUUAUUUAUAAGGCACUGGACUGUCUUAAAUUCUACAAUAAUACUAGAACCAGCUGAGAGAAGUGGUCUACAAAAAAACCAGGAAGGAAACGGAAUACGUGGCUACGAAAGGCAAAAGAAAGGUUUACAAAGCAAAUGUGACACAUUUUUUUGAAAUAUUUAGGAAUAUCAGUAAAUUGCAUUAAAAAAAUGUAUGAAAAGAUUUUGUUCAAUAAAAAUGUUUAUAUUUA